UAUUACACAAGGGAAAACUUCAAAUACCAUUCCUGUGAUUUUGCAUUUUUUUACUUUAGUACCCUGUGGUUUAAAGUGUAUCAAUUUAAUACCAUAUGGUUUCACACUUUCUCACUUUAGUACCCUGUGGUUUAAAGUGUAUCAAUUAAUACCCUGUGGUUUCAUUUUUCUCUUUUCAUCGGCUCAUCUGUUAAUAUUUCGUUAAAUUAUAUACAAAAAACUUCAGAUACUCUAUCUAGAUUUAUCGAAUAUUUACUUUAGUAUCCUUUAUUUUUAACUUUGUCACUGAUUUUUUUUUCCUCUGUUAAUAUUUCAUUAAAUUAUAUAUAAAAAACUUCAUAUACCCUAUCUAGGUUUAUCGAAUAUUCAUUUUAGUACCCUUUAAUUUUAACUUUGUCACUGAUUUAACGAAAAAAAUUAAUGAAAUGAAUAAUAAAAAGGAAAAAAAAAAUCACAUGGUACUAACUUGAUACACUUUAAACCACAAAGUACUAAAGUGAGAAAGUGCGAAACUACAUGGGCUAACUUGAUACACUUUAAACCAUAGAUUUUUUUUUUUUUUUGAGAGAUAGGUAGCACGUUACCCGCUUCGUUUAUUUCAUUUAGAAAUAAACUUAGCAAGAAAUGUGAAUCAACUAGGAUUCGAACUUGGGUCUCGGGUACCAACCAUCAAAUCCUUUGCCACUUGCUCUACUGCUCUAGGGACGGUCGGUCCAUAGGAUAUUAAAGUGAGAAAGUGUGAAACUACAAGAGGGGUAUUUGAAGUUUACCCAUUAAUUACACAAUAAAGAGUUUGUACAAAGAGC
rnacentral:lncRNA from 1 species